rnacentral:misc_RNA from 1 species
GUUCUCUUCUAUUCCCCCAAGAGAUCGAACGAAUAUAUCACUAACUUUGACAAAGAACAGUUCCUCCUCGUCAUCAAUUAAUCAUUGUUGCUCAAUUACAAAACCCUUUUAUCUAAUUGCCAUUUCCAUCCUCUCAAACCAAAUGACAGCAAAAACUAGCAAGCUAGAAAUGGCAAGUAGAAGAGAUAUUAGAUGCAGCUGGUGCGGUGUGCAGCUACUAGUGCCACCAGAAGCUCAAGCCAUUAGAUGUGCAGUGUGCCAAGCCAUUACCAGGGUUCAAUCCUACGACCCUUUAACUCAAGUCCGCGACUCCAUAAACCAGGCAGCUACCCGGAUCAUCAACAUAGUGUCUAGCACCAUGACUGGUCCGGUGAGUAGCUAUCCCGUGGCACCCGCGGCGGGGACGUGUGGUUAUGGUUAUUAUGUUCAGCCACCAAGGCCAGUAAUCUUGCCUCUUCCUUCACUCCAUGGAAGGAAGCGAGCAGUGCUUUGUGGGGUGAGCUAUAAAGGAAAGAGCUAUAGGAUGAAAGGAAGCAUUAAUGAUGUGAAGUGCAUGAGAUAUUUUCUUGUUGAGAAAUUGGGGUUUCCUAGUGACUCCAUACUUAUGCUCACAGAAGAUGAGAUUUGCCCACUCAGGAUCCCAACAAAAGAGAACAUGAGAUUGGCUAUGCGAUGGCUUGUUCAAGGUUGUCAACCAGGAGACUCAUUAGUGUUUCACUUCUCCGGGCAUGGUUCAAAGGUGCCUGAUAAUGACAAGGAUGAGGCUGAUGGUUUUGAUGAAACUUUAUGUCCUCUUGACUAUGAAACUGAGGGAAUGAUAAUUGAUGAUGAAAUCAAUGACACCAUUGUAAGGCCUAUACCUAAAGGGGCUAUGCUUCAUGCCAUUAUUGAUUCCUGUUAUAGUGGAACCAUACUUGAUCUACCAUUUGUGUGCAAGAUGAAUAGGGAAGGAUACUAUAUAUGGGAAGAGCAAAUAUGUUCAUCAGAUACUUACAAAGGCACAAGUGGAGGGUUAGCCCUUUGUUUCAGCGCUUGUAAUGAUAAUCAAACUUCUGUGGAUACUACAGCAUUGUCAGGCAAUGCUUCAACUGGUGCCCUUACUUACAGCUUUAUCCAAGCAGUGGAAAACGAACCUGGAUUAACAUACGGUCGCUUGCUUAAUGCCAUGCGCCAGGCUAUUCGUGGGGCUAAAACUGGUGGAUUACGCCUCAGUGGUCCUAUUGCUGCUCUAAUUAACAGAGCCCUAUUUAAUACAGAGUUAACGCAGGAACCUCAAUUGUCUUCGUCUGAGAAAUUUGAUAUUUAUUCCAAACAAUUUUUACUGUAAUGCUUGCUUGUUUGCAAUGGCUGUUGUAUAAAAGUUAGGUUGCAACUGUUGCAAGCUUGAACUCAUACAAGAAUGAGUCUAGCAAUCCUUAAAUUAAAUAUUUAUUGUAAGAUUUGUG